UACGGGGGGGAGCAAGCGUUGUUCGGAUUUACUGGGCGUAAAGCGCACGUAGGCGGAUCGUUAAGUGAGGGGUGAAAGUCCCAAGGGCUCAACCCUGGAACUGCCUUUCAUACUGGCGAUCUUGAGUCCGGAAGAGGAGAGUGGAAUUCCUGGUGUAGCGGUGAAAUGCGCAGAUAUCAGGAAGAACACCAAUGGCGAAAGCAGCUCUCUGGGACGGUACUGACGCUGAGACGCGAAAAGCGUGGGGAGCGAACAGG
rnacentral:rRNA from 1 species